ACGCAAAGGCAGCAGGUCCCGGGCUGCCACGCAGCAGGUCCUUGUCACCACCGGCGGUGCCAGCUCUCAGCUAAGAUGACAGAACACAAACGAACGGAGGACCCAGCACAGCUGGUACACACUGGAGAUCGUUUAAGGAUGAUUGUGUGCAGGGCAAAUGAAUAAAAAGAAAAGCUGUACAAUGAUCCUCGUAGGAGUAGUGCAGGUCCGUGUACUGCACAUGACAAAAGGGAUGAAUUCCCACUGGACUUGUGGAGGUGAGGUAAUGUAUUUGAAAUACAGUGCGGUUGAGUAUAAAACAGAAAAAAGAUAUCUUUUUCUCUUUGGCUUGCAUUAAGAAAGGCUGUUCUGAUAGCAUUCAUUUCACGUUCACACGGAGAGGAAAUGAGAGUUGUGGUCAGCAGCAGUCGGCUGCAACAAGGGACCCUGCGAAAGCGCAGCUAUAGCCUGCAUAUGGGACCAGCUUGCAGCUCAACACUGAGCAAGCGCUGCAGGCACACAGAGCUGAAAACAAACCUUUCCCACAUCCAAGGAUUGAGCAAAAAGGGAAGUGCUGUUUGAGAGAAGUGCUAACAACAUGGAGAGCUGAAAAGGCUAUUCUGUUUGGGGGACCUAACACUGUACUCAAACACACAAAUCUUUCCAUUAACUCUCCCUUGCAGAACUGGCAUGUGAAUUUAGCUGGCCAGGCACAAAAUGUUUCAUCAUCAUUGCUUUGGCAAUUCGCAGAUGAAAAUGAUGGAGUAUACAACUUAUAUUUUGCUCCUCAUUUGAAAAAUAUGGCAUGGCAUGACUGGAUGAGUCGAACUUUGCAAUGCCGUAUUUGCGUUGAUAAGAUUUGUACCCGGUCUCUGCGGGUGGGUUGGGGCUCGAUUUUAGUGUUUCAUGGCCAUCAGUACUAGUUGAAACCCGACUCUGUACUGAGACGUGCUUAAUAGGAAUAAAAGGUCUGUUAUUCUAAAUCAGAUUACUAGUCCAGCCAAUGUGAUAUCCUGUCUCCAGCAGUGGCCAGCAUCAAAUACUUCAGAGAGACACACAAAACCCCACAAUGGACAAUCACGUUAUAAUCUGCUUAUUUGGUUAAGUUUCCACUGCUGCCAAGGAUGUAGGAGAGACUGGUUUAUGCCCCGAAGCACAAAACUUCUUGUCCUUUAUGUCCUUAAUAGCAGAAUAACCCAUCAAUAACAUGUAAAAAUGAUUGCCAUUUUUCGAAAGAGCAGUGCUAUCUCCCGUCAGUUGUUACUGCCCGGGCUUGAGAACACGUCGAGCCUACGCUCCAAGACUGACAUUAAAAGCUUUCAGCCCCAUAAUGUACUCCGGUGUUUUUCAUUUGAUGAAGGCUGCGAACAGGAGCAUCUUCAGGAGAAAGAGCACGCAGUGAUGACAGAAAUGAAAUUUCUUCCAAGGCAAGAAUAUCCAUGGCUUCUCGUUUCCCUGCAGGUUUUUCAAGCAGCCUGAGAAGGUGAAAGGCUCCUGAGACAAAGGGUUUAAUUCUCCGCAACUUGGCCAUGGGACAGAUCAGGAUUCCUUCCCUCUCUGGCAGCCACAGAGGCAAGAUACCCAGGGCAGCAAGGAGCACACAGGGCUACUCAGCAGGGUAUUUUUAAUACCUUUGUAUAAACAUGUGGACUUUUUUUUUUAAUUCUUGCCAAGCCAAACUCACAUUUAACUUGGUGCCUCUGUAAAAAAUGUAGAUUUUGUGUUUGCAAAUAUUUUUUUUUUCUUACUAAAUUGAUCCUUUUCCAUUGAUUUCUGCCUCUUUGGUUCUUCUGUGUCAAGCCAAAACAGCGUGGGUGUCCUACGAGCCCCUCACUUGAUGUCAGCAGACUCCUGGGAAUAGCAUUUAGUGGUUGUCACCUGCCCCAAAGCCAGCAUGGAUAGCAAAAAAAAAAAAAAAAAAAAGGACCUUUGAGGUUUCGUGGAGCUUCUAAUACUGCUGGCUAUAAUUGUGGUUUGUUUAUUUACUUUGUAAGUUACUUGUCAUGCUGAUUUUGCUGGAAAAUGAAAACACAGAGCUAUUUUAACUCGCGCUGUACCCCUGAAUGCUGCAAUAUGCUUUAAUGAUUUAUUCCCCCACCUCUUGAUGUAGUGUCCAUAUACAAAUCCAAGAUGACAGGAAACAAGCAGGUAAUACCAGAAUCAGUGUAAUGGGUGUAGCAGUAGAAAAGGAGAUAGGACGUAACAGCGUUCCAGGUACUGAUGCCAUAAAUAGCACCGGGGAACUCCUAAGAGGGUGUGAGGAUUGACAGAGGAAGGUACAAAGGUGGAAUGAAGAGGAAGGAAGAAUAACGUGAAUGAGAACAAGAAGUUCCCAUGCGUAUAUUAGAAAGUGCUCAAAUCACCAGCAUUCUGAGGUGGUUUAACUACACAUAAAUCUACAAAUUAACAGAUACUUCGUCCAGUCCAUACAGAAAAAUAACCCUGAAGACAACUGGAAGAAGUUCCUUUUUUUGUCAUAGAUAAAAAACAGGAAGGAGAAAUUGUAGCAGAAAAGCAUCCAUCCUGGAUCCACUUCCCGACAGCAGGGGGAAGCUAAUGAAAUAUUGAAAUAACACUCAUCUUCUGAACUAGAAACUUGAAUUUGGCAAAGGAUAUAGCAAUAAAAUGGUAUUUCAUACCUGGAAAUCAAAUGUAUGGAAAUUAAAGACUCCUAUACCAAUAAUCAGAAGAGUGGUGGCAGCAAAUAUUAUUAAAAUCUGCUGGACAAGAAGGAGAGGGUGAAGAAACUCCAGAAGUGCUAUGUGAAAGUAAAUGAAAGUUUUUCAGAAAAAGGAACAAGAAUUUGUGACUUUGGGGAAUGGCUGUUGCAAAAAAAUGAACUUCGCAACGGAAAUUGUCUGGAAAAGAAUUACAGAAAAAUACACAGAGUGCAUAUAAAUACGGAGAAACAUUGGAGAGAGGAUAGCAAAAGACCACCAGAGAUCACACUUGGUCCAACCAAGGACGCAAACGGAAAAUGGCUUUGUAAAAAUGUUAGAGAAGGCAGCUGAAGCUUGUGCUGCCUGCUGGUGCUACCAGGCCCCCAGCCUUCCCCUUGCUCUUGCAGGAGCCGCCGAGCCUGCGGCGGAGCACAGCCCAUUAGCUGAGACCUGGAGCACCUCUGCCUUUUAUCAUCCCUGCUUCCUGCUGACUCCAGCAGGUUAUUUUUUACAUUAGCACAUGCAGAAGGUUAUGUUCAUUUAUAUAUAUUUUUUUCUGUAAGGGUCUCCAGUGGGAAGCUAACCAUUAGUGAGCUCCCGUUAUAGCUCAUAUUUACUAUUUAUAAAAUUAGUACCAAAAAUACUAAAUCGAAGCACAAAAUUGUUCUUGCUCAUGUGAUUUCCGAGUCGGUUGUCAACGCUACUUUAGAAUUCUUUGGGUUUUUUAAUUUAAGGAUCUUCAUAUGUCCCUAAUCUAAGGCUCUUAAUUAUAUGCGUGUGUGUGUGUGUAUAUAUAUAUAUAUACAAGCAUAUGUUUAUAUAGACUCUAUGUGCGCACAUGCGUAUUAAACCUCUGAACAUCUUUCAAGUUAAGCGUAGCACUCAAAUAAAUUGCGCUCAAAUCUGA